rnacentral:lncRNA from 1 species
GUUCAAAGCUGGUUCACAAAUCUUCAGUGAAGGUGGACUUGACUAUUUGGGAAACCCUAGUUUGGUUCAUGCACAAAGUAUCUUAGCUAUCUGGGCUUGUCAAGUUGUCUUGAUGGGUGCUGUUGAAGGUUAUCGUAUUGCGGGUGGACCUCUUGGUGAGGUUGUUGAUCCACUUUACCCUGGUGGUAGCUUUGAUCCCUUAGGACUUGCCGAUGACCCUGAGGCUUUCGCUGAGCUCAAGGUGAAGGAGAUCAAGAACGGUAGACUCGCUAUGUUCUCCAUGUUUGGGUUCUUUGUUCAAGCUAUCGUAACCGGAAAGGGUCCAUUGGAGAACCUUGCAGACCACCUUGCUGACCCAGUUAACAACAACGCCUGGGCUUACGCGACCAACUUUGUCCCCGGAAAGUGAAAUUGUGAUACAUAAUCAUGAGUUUGUAGCUUAUUGUGAGACAUGAAUCUAUAGGAAGGGGUCAGUCUUUUAGAAGCAUUCUGGGUUAUGGAUUCAGUACAAGAAUAUUGUAAUGUGGUGUAAAUUGGUUUGGAUUAAUUAAUGAAGAACAUGUUAAAU